rfam:Ictidomys tridecemlineatus contig004723, whole genome shotgun sequence.
UAAAAGGUUUUUCUCAAAACCCAUAAUUUUAAAAUGGAAAAGUAA